AGGGAUCAAAACCAUGACCUUGGUGUUAUUGGCAGCAUGAUCUAACCAACUGAGCUGAUCUCAGGAUCUUUGUGAAGGGCUUUUACAAAAGAAGAUGGUGGGAACAAAGUGCUAUGGCCUGGCUGGUGUAAAUGCCUUGGAGUCCUCCCGAGUCCAGAAACAGGCACAGGUACCUGAGUGUGUUUCAGCUGCCUGGAUCACACAGUGAACGCUGUUGCCUGCCUUGCCUCUCGCUUUCUGAAGACCAUGUCCAAAAGCACAAGCAGCUUUUCAGCGGACCUUGGCCAGAAGGAUCCCCCUCCACGAGUCCAGCCCACCUUGCCAGAGGAGCUGUGAUGCAGACACCUUUGGCUCUGGGUUGGGCACCUGACUUCAAAGGGAGAGCUGGCUCCCGAGGGGUAUGGAAAAGAAGGAAAUGGUUCUGUGAAAUGAGACACAUCGUUAUCUAACAAGGUGCAGGUUUUGCAGCAUUUUACAUGAUUAAAGCACUUAAGCACUCUCUUCCACGUGCAGGGUCUGGUGUCUACCAGGAGCUCCAUGUGCUGCUUCUUUUGCCAGUGGGGAUAUCACGUUUGGAAUGGACCUUGAC